GGUUCAGUAGUGUAGAGGUUAUCACCCGGGAUUCUGAUUAUUUGACUUCCCGUAACCCAGGUUCGAGUCCUGGUUGGACCU
rnacentral:tRNA from 1 species